UCAAUACGUCACGUUUCUAACCGAAAUGAGACAAACAAACUGGCUUUCAAACAAAAGUCCUGCUACCUGUUUGCUUUUGUCGGAAUCCGAGUAGCAGUUUUCUAAUGAAUUGAAACAUUUAAUUUACAAAACUGAGAUCUGAGCAACAGUUGGAUUUAUUAACUGCGUAUUUGUAAUAAGAGUCAAUGAGUCUGCAUUUGCAUUACAACAUCAAAGAACAGGCCGAUCAGGCUGGUUCUCUACACUGAGUGAGCUAUACCCCACCUGGGGGAAAUAAGACAUUACGUAAAGAAUUUCUCUCUCUUGAAGGACCCUCAGUCGAAUGGAUGCAUAGAUAUACUUCAUUAGAUAACUAGUUCCACAUAGUGGUGGUACGUGGUAAAAACUGGUUUAAAGAACGCUAAGUUGUGGAUCGACGGAAGUCGGGUUUAUACCGUAUUUCGUAUGGAAUUUUGUGUUCUACCUCGACGUCUGAUUAUAAAACUCUCUGAACGAAAAAACUGAUGAAUCGGAACAAUAUCGAUGAACACUCUGCACGAUGUAAAAUGACCCCUACAUCUUCUCCCGCAUUUCUACGCAACAUGUCAUAUAAAAUUAAAAAGGCUCUAAUAUCGUGUUUGAACUAUUUAUGAAAAACAAUGUGUACCGAAAUACGAACAAUAUAUAAUAUAAAGAUAUACAGGCCUCGAAUCGACACAAUUUAAAAACAGCAAACUAUUUUAAUCGAGUGAAAGUAAUAAUGUAUAUUUUCAGAUUUCUAUUAAAAAUAGAAUCGCUAUUUACAGUCUGCAUUUGCAAUGA